UUAUAUACUGUAAACACAUUCAAUUAUAAUCAAUUUAAAAGAAAUUUUUUAAAGUUUAGGCUUUUCUUUCAUUAACUUUUUGUUCAUUUUUAACUUCAAGUUCUUCGAGAAGCAAAAGUUUCCAAAAGUCUUAUUGAGCUAAGAAGAGGGGAUCAACGUAUCGGUAAGUUUGUGGUGUUUUUCCUUUACUUGUUUAUUUUCUCUAGUUUUUAUUUUUGUAUUUCUUUUAGAAUUGUAGAUUCAAUUAGAGGGAGAAGUUUUCU
rnacentral:lncRNA from 1 species